rnacentral:rRNA from 1 species
UACAGGGGGGGCAAGCGUUGUUCGGAAUUACUGGGCGUAAAGGGCUCGUAGGCGGCCAACUACGUCACACGUGAAAUCCCCAGGCUUAACCUGGGAACUGCGUGUGAUACUGGAUGGCUUGAAUCCGGGAGAGGGAUGCGGAAUUCCAGGUGUAGCGGUGAAAUGCGUAGAUAUCUGGAGGAACACCGGUGGCGAAGGCGGCAUCCUGGACCGGUAUUGACGCUGAUGAGCGAAAGCCAGGGGAGCAAACGGG